GCUGCUGCCUGCCAGCCCCGUGCUGGCACUGACAGGUCUGUGCUGGGACUGGUGGGCAGCAAGCACCUGUGUGUGGAGGAAUGAGCUUCCUCUCACUCACAAGUUCCACCCAUCAGUCAAGAGCUAAUGAGCAGCUUGAUGUGUAAGUGAUCCUGCUGAGAGCUCACCAGGCGCUGCUCCGACCCUGGGAUGUCUUCCUGGCAUUUCCUGGCAGCAGUCUGUGGAUAAAACAUCUUUUCUGGAAGGUGAAAUCUCUGUCCACACAGUGGAAAGGCAAUGGGAGAGUUGUGGGGGCGAGGGAGCUGCUCAGCCCAUCAGUUCUCCCCCUUAGAGCUGGGCAUGUCACUUCCAUUUUAGGCAGCAGCUGAACUCAUCCAUAAAUCUGGGAGGGCAAUUAAGGUUGGAAAUGCAGAAGGACCUCAGCUUGGUCUCUUAAAGAAGGAUGAGGGAAGGGCCCACCUUCCAUUUCCAUGGACUUUCCAAAGGCUAACAUGCCAUUUAGCUGGCUGGCUCUCCUAUCAGCCAAACAGGCCUGAAACCUUCUCCUGUUGGUGCUAUGUGCAGUGGGAUCCAUGAAAUCUCAUCUUCUGUGGAUGUACCGUUUGGAUUUGGAGUCUCUGGUGUCCAGUAAGUUAUUAGUGCUGAAUGGAGCAGCUCCCUUUCCUGGGAUAUUUAUAGCUUCUCUCCCACACAAAUUGUCUGAUGUCUAAUAAGGGAUGAUACACUACAGUUUGGAAGGUGCUAAUAAUGUCUCUCCUCUGUUAGGUAAUCUGUUCCCAUGAAAUUUAUAGACUCUGACUGUCUCCGAGACCUCUGUUGCUCUGUCACAUCAGCUUGAAAUCUGUUUGCGGUGUCAGAAGUUGCUAGGGAGUGGGCAGAGGACAGACUGAUGCAGCAGGAUGUGCUCUGCGCUCCUUGGGAAAUCAGGCUGAAAAUGCGCAGAUCUGGGGCCGGGGGCAGCUGUGGAUCACGGGAGCCUCGUGUUUGGGAAAGCAAUCCGCUUGUGUGGGAGGAAGGUGAUGAGCUCCGAGCGUUCGAGCCGCCCGGGGCGAGCCGCGGGUACCGAGCGUGGCCUCUCGUGGGAAGCAGCCCCCGCGGACGAUGAACGAGGCAGCCCAGAGCUCCUGGCUGGUGUGAAGAAUUGCCUGGCUAAAGGAUAAUGAAUGCCACAGCAGGAGACAGAGCGUUUCUCUGAGGCCAUUCAUCCCCUUUAUCACCCUGCUAACAAGCCCCAGAGCGCCUUUAGAGAGACUUCUCCUGAGCAGCACCAUCCCUCAGCCGAGCUGCUGCCUGGGUGCUGGGGCUCAGGGAUGCUGCAUGUGGCAGGAGCACUCAGCAGGAAAACCACGGGCCAUCCCCCAAAUUAACAGCCCCGGGUUUGGGUCUCUGCUCUGGGGACCGGGCCUUGGCUUUGGUUUGGCUGUUGUGGAGACCAUGCCCUCCUUCAGGCACAGUACCACCUGAGAGAUCCAGAUGUAAAAGCCAAGCAUCCAUCUUUAUUUAAGCACUUCUGGGCAGCACCUGCAGCACCCUUUGGAGGAUUGCUCCAUUCUAACUCCCAGCUCUCCUAAGAUUUAGGAUUUGUAAGAUUUAUCCAAGACCCAAGAGGAGUUUGGGGCUGCCAGCACGUAGGUAAGUUGGUUCUGCUUCACUUGAGGCGCAGCUGAGCCUGUGCGUGAGCCUUGUGAGAGGAGGAAAGGGCAGGAGUGAUGUGCUCUUCAUAAGAGCUAAUAAAAGCUAAUCCAUCCCUUUGCUCCAAGACAGUGGGAAGCAUUAGUGGCUGGCUGAGUGCCUCCUCCACUGCAGCAGCGUGCUGGGUGCCUCGUCCUUCCCUCUGGCUGGGAGCAAAGUGUGUUCUCCCAUGGAGGGGAAGGUGUCUCUGGCAGAGCUGUGCCACCUGCAAGUGCUCUCCAUAGCUGCCAUGCCUCCUGAGAAGGAAAAACUGCCAGAGAACCCAGACAGGUGAGUCUGGGAAUGAGGAUGGACAUCCCUUGGGCAAUCUCAUGGCAGGCCUCAGCUCCAGGCAAGUGCCUUGCCUCUGUUCCAGGACUUGGGCCAUGGCUUGUGAGAGCAUCACCUCUAACUUGACUGGUGUGUAAGAGACCCUCAGAAAGGCUGGAGCCAGCUGAGCUCAAAAUAGGUGCCCAAAUAGGUUUGGAAUAUGUUCACCAAACAGCCUGUGUGCUCACUUGUGCACUGUGUGUGCAGGUACAAGCUGUGCCACCCUGCCAAGAGUGAUUUGUGUCUCGGGCACAGUGCACAGUGGGUGAUCAAGUAGAAAUAAUUGCCAGUAAUUGGAAGUUUUUUCUUUUCCCUCCUGUGUGUUUUCUUAAUUUCUCCUUCUCCUCCUCCAGGUUUAGCUGUUGGGGAAUGCAUUUUGUGUGGUCCAUGGUAAACGCCCCACAACCAGUGCUAGUGGGAGAAGGGAAAGCAAACAGAGGAGUUUGUUUUGUGUUUGGGUGUCCUCAACAAAUGCUGAUAGUGGUUUUAUAGGGGCAAAAAAAGGAAAAGAAAAGCCACAAAGCUUUGCAGAUAGAGGGGGCAGAGUGCCAUGAUAGAUAAUUGAGUGGUUCCAGUGAGGGGAGAAACAGCAGGAGAGCAGCAGGUGGUGGGGAUGGCCUGGAAUGUGUUUGCAGAGCUGUGGAGCAGAGGAGAAAGUGUAUCAUGGAGCCAGGUGUCUCCUUGAGUGCGAGCAGCACAAAAGGAAGAGGAUUGUAAACCUGAUUUUUUCUCUCAAAUUUUUUUUUUUUUUUUUUAAAUCAGGAGGUCUCCAAGCAUUUUCAAAGGAAGCUAACAUGGCAGAUUGAAAAAUUUCCCGUCUUGAGGCUUCAGUGACUAAGUUUGGAGCCAGCCAGAGGAAUCUCACCAUUAAAUGUCGAGUUGAAGUGAAACACAAUACAUCACCUUCCUCGUGGGCUGCCAUUCAGCCACGAGUAACAGAGAUUAGCCUUCAAUCACACGAGGGCUGGAGCUGAAGGAAACCUUCCCGAGGACACGCUGGAGAAACAUUUUCAUUAGCAGAGGAGAACAUGACGGAGAUGAAGUGGCCCUUCACCUCGGCUGCCAGACCUCUCGCCUGCCUGGUGUUAACAGGAAUGCUAACCAAGGAGCUGGGGCCAGCUGCAGUGCUCUGAGUGCUGUCUGCAUCCAGAUCUAGGGAAUUUGUUUGGAACAUCAGAACAAAUGGCUGCUGGUUUUGAUGCAUUCUCAUGUUAAGUUACCUCUCAUGUCGCCCUCCUCCAUUUCAGAACUGAGAGCAGCCAAAAUGAGAGGAAAACAUGGCUCCUGAGCAAUUUUUCCCCCUAUGAUGCCUUCACCUUUCUUGUAUUCCCUUUUCUCCUACGAUCUCAGCUGGCUGAGUUUCACUGCCAGCCUAUUGAAAGGAAAGGCACGUGCUGGCUUGUGGAGGGAGAGAGACCUGAGACAGGAUAAAUCUGUAUGCAAUGAGAAUGGGGGGAAGCAAGUCAGCUGCUCUGACACUUUUAUUAUGGAGCCAGGCUGCUUGGGGAUGAAUCUUUCUUGAAACGUGUUGCUGGAUGACAUUUCUGCCAGGUCUCAGCAGUAACCUUCACCAAGCCUUGCUGCCCAGCCCUGUGCUUGCCUUUUCCUGGGACAAAGAGAAUGAAUAUCCACUGGAAAUGCCACAGGCAGCAGGGAUCAGUGGGGCUUAAUGCACCUCCAGUGAGUCUGAAGGCACCUGGACUUUCUCAGCAGAAGCUCUUCAGGCUUUGGUGACUUCAGCUUAUUGCUGCAUGUGUUGUUUUGCAAAGGAGGUGUGGGCUCCUACAUCUGUUUCUCACUUCAGAAUCAAAGAUGAUGUGGCAGAGACCAAAAUGAAAUUCUCCUCAGAGCUGUCCAGAAGGAUGGAUAACUGCAAGAAAAUAUUAUUCCAUGGCUCUGGAAAAGGAAUAUCUACUUGCUUAGUAACCUGGUAAUGAGGUGCUGGCUCUGCUCCAUGCAGAGGCUGGAAGCCAUGAGAGAUUGGGGGUUACAAAGAGGGCUGGGCAGAGUUUGCUGCCCUCUCAGCUCCUUUCCUGUAUCACUGUCAAUUUAGAUUUCACAUCAAGAGGGUGAUGUUAUGGCUGGCGGUGACAACAGCAGAAUGUCACUGGCAGAGGUGAAAUCUUUCCCUCCGUGAGGGUAAUUCUCCCUUCCCUUUCCCCUUCCCCAUGGCUUGCACUGGGACCCUCUGGCUCCUGGUGCUGAGCAGGGAAGGCAGGCAUGCUGCUCAGGGGACAGCAUCUAUUGUGCUGAGCUUCCUGCUGUCUGGGUGAGUGGCUCUGUGUCACUGAUGCCUCUUGGCUGCAUGGUGACCUGGGACAGAGGGAAACCCCUUGUCACUGCCUGAAACAAACUGGGGCCGUUGGAAGCUGCUGUCAUGGCAGCGUUGCACAGAGUGGUCCUCUGCCAUGCUGGCAGGCUUGUUCCAGCAGGAGGUCUGCCAGGGAUGUUCCUCCAGGGCCCUGGGGGGCCUUAUGCUCCUUAGGGCCAGGCCUAAGCUAGGUCCAGGUCUGAGGGGCAGACUUACAUGUUAAUGCUUCACGCUCUCUGCUGUCUCUCGUCUCCUCUGAGCAGGAGCUGAUCUUGUAGAAAGGUGCCUGUGCUCACCUGCUCCAGCAGCCCCUCUACCAGCAUCUGUCCCCAGGGGCCCAUUCAGCAAAGCCUUGGUGUUGUUCUGGGUCCAGUUUUCAUUUUUCAGCUGGUUAUGGAGAAGAGGAUGAAGAGACCUACUGCCACUAGGCUACAGUAGAAAACAGAGGAAGGGGACUGGCCUCUUAGUGUGCUUAAAGAUCCAAAAAUUUAAUCUGAUUCUGCUUCUCUCUCAGCCCUGAGCCUGUUGUAUCUUUUCCAGCUGUUGCCUGAGCCUUUUUUUUUUUUGUUUUGCUAUUUUUUUCUUGUUCCCUUUUUACCCUCACUUAUGAAAAAUGGCUUUCCCAUCUGCAUCUGUCAGGAGUCUGCCUGAGCUGGGUGUACGGCUCAGUGAAUAUACAAAUGUGCGGUUGGGUCGUGGCCCCCCUGACAGGCCGGAGAUGGAUUCCAAACAUGCAGGGAGAAGGGCUUCUGCUGCCUCUCAUGGUUGUUUUUCUUAUCCCAAGGAGGUGUGAGAAUCGCCUUUGGGAGCAGCGCUUCCUUCUGCUCCUGCUCUGCCUGACCAAGGAUCAGUUCUCUCUCAUCCAUCAUCAGGACACGGCAACAGCCUCCUCCUGCCACCAGCCAGCUGCACGCCUGCAACCAGGCGAGGAGGGAUCUGGAGCUGUGGAGCCACGAGGAAGGCGAGCGAUGGCAGAUUCCUCCGGCAUUUCCACCCCGCGGGGCUCUUGGCGAGCGAGCGCUCGUGUGCUUUGAAAGCUCUUAGUGCUCCUGCAGUUCAGCACUCUGAAUAAUGAGCCUGCAAACCGGGGGGAGAGCUCCCGAGAGGCGCCUGCGUACCGGAGAUGGACACAACAAGUGUCUCAGAUGGGUCGGUAUCUGAAGCCAUCUCUCUCUAAUUUUCUACAUCAGUGAGAGCACAGCACGGCACCAUCAAUCAUAGUCAACCUCCCCUCGGAAAGGCACCUCCUACCUCGCUGUGCUGUGGUGUCCCCCUGUGCUCCUGCCUGUGCUGGGGACCGCAGGUGUCCCGGGCAGCGGCACUGCAGGCACUAUCCCUCCCAGGGGGCUCUCAUUCGUUGUGUUUGAGCCUGCUCGUGCUUCUGCCUGUCUCCUUCCUCCACCCCUGGCACCUGCUCCUUGCCAUCACUUCAUUUCCAGAUGCGUCUUCCCCUCCUGGAGACAGAAAAGGCCAAAUGCUCCCUUUAUCCCCGAUGAGGAGAAGGUGUGGGGCUGCCUUACUUGGAAUAAAGCCACUGUGUGCUGCCUGGGGGAGGCCUGAGGGUGGGCUUGGUGCUUGUUCUGCUCAUCUGAGGAUGGGGAGGUUGGGCUUUGCAGUUCCCAUGGAGCCAUCAGGGCAUGUUCUGGGGUUUGCUCGGCUCCAGCUCCUUUUCCCCAGCUCAGGGCAUGGAGCAGCUUUCAUGCUGUGCUUGUGAUGCAAUGCAGCUGCUCUUGGUCCCUCAGCUCUCUUUUUGUGGAGCCCCCUGCUCCUUCCUGGCCUGCCUGUGCUUCUACCAGACCCAGGGGCACAGCUUUGGCAGGAACACUGGUGGUGGGUCUUCUCCUGGCCAGGCACACUCCUAGGCUGGCCAGAAGGCAGGUGGGACACAGAUCUGUGCCUGUGGCUGUUUCUUCUACUGCAGCAUGGACAUAGCUGGUGGCUUUGCUGCCUCUUGCUUCUUCAUCUCCCUCAUGUGCUAAAUUGGGUUCUCUUCCUCAGUUGUGGUGGCUCUUGGACCUACCAAAACCUGGCUGACUUGUUCCUGGUAUCAUGACACAGAAGUUGUUUGCAGCUCCAUAUCUGACUCCGUGGGCUCAAGCUCCAGCUAGAAAACCAAGGACUAAGCUGCUUUCUUGAGCACAGCCUCGUAGAGAAGCAUUUUCAGAAGAAACUCUUGCAAUUGCCACCUCCCUCUCAGCCUCUUCACUGGUUUCUGAGAGCUGCUGAGCAUCCUUGACCUCUCUCUCAGGCAUGGUUCCCUGCAUGUAUCAGCCCUGCUUCGGUGCUGUGGAGCUGUUGCUGGUGUCUGUAAUAGCUGCGUUGUUUACUUCCCAAGUGCCUGGCCUUUCUGUAAUGAGCUGUAAUUCAUCCUGGUUUAUACAGGCUCAGAUAUACCUGGAGCAAGGAGGGUGUGCCAUUAAACCACCUUCUAGACUGCUAUCUGGACCCUGGAUUGCUGAUCCCCUGGAGAUGUAAAACAGGGAGGACAAGGGGGAUCAGAUGGAAAUGGGGAAUAAUUACCUUGCAGGGCAAAGGGGGCUGGCUGGGUUGGAAACUGCUGGGAGCUGACAUGCAGGUGCAGAUGGAUGGUUACGGCAGGCAGGGCGGAGGGAUGAAAGAUGCCUUUUUAAAGCAUCUGCCUCCCUCUCUUCCUCUGCUUUAUAACCUGUUUUUAUAGAGACUGCAUGAGGAACACAUUUUAUUUUAUUAGCAGCUUGGGAGUGGAGAGUAAUAAAGAUUAAUUUUUUUAAAUAA